rnacentral:rRNA from 1 species
AUUCCAGCUCCAAUAGCGUAUACUAAAGUUGUUGCAGUUAAAAAGCUCGUAGUUGGAUUUUGGACAUCGCUUGUUGGUCCGCCGUAUAGGUGAGUACUGACGGGUGGAGUCUUCCGGUUGAAGGUCAUGUGUGCUCUUUAUUGAGUAUGCAUGGAAUUCAGCCAACUUACUUUGAAAAAAUUAGAGUGUUCAAAGCAGGCCUUUGGCUUGAAUACAUUAGCAUGGAAUAACAGAAUAGGACUUUGGUUUUAUUUUGUUGGUUUCUAGGACCGAAGUAAUGAUUAAUAGGGAUAGUUGGGGGCAUUAAUAUUUAAUUGUCAGAGGUGAAAUUCUUCGAUUUAUGAAAGAUUAACUUCUGCGAAAGCAUUUGCCAAGGAUGUUUUCAUUA